GGGGAAUAUUGCACAAUGGGGGAAACCCUGAUGCAGCGACGCCGCGUGCGGGAUGAAGGCCUUCGGGUUGUAAACCGCUUUCACCAGGGACGAAGCGAGAGUGACGGUACCUGGGGAAGAAGCGCCGGCUAACUACGUGCCAGCAGCCGCGGUAAUACGUAGGGCGCAAGCGUUGUCCGGAAUUAUUGGGCGUAAAGAGCUCGUAGGCGGCUUGUCACGUCUGCUGUGAAAUCCCAGGGCUCAACCCUGGGCGUGCAGUGGAUACGGGCUGGCUAGAGGCAGGCAGGGGAGAACGGAAUUCCCGGUGUAGCGGUGAAAUGCGCAGAUAUCGGGAGGAACACCGGUGGCGAAGGCGGUUCUCUGGGCCUGUUCUGACGCUGAGGAGCGAAAGCGUGGGGAGCAAACA
rnacentral:rRNA from 1 species